CAGCUAGCUUUCCCCCAAUUUUUUUCUUGUCCUUUUUUGACUUGAUACAACAAAAAAAAAAAUAUUAAAA
rnacentral:ribozyme from 1 species